rnacentral:sRNA from 1 species
AGGCCUGUCGACCGCUGCGGCGCUCGCGC